UACGGAGGAUCCGAGCGUUAUCCGGAUUUAUUGGGUCUAAAGGGAGCGUAGUCGGGAAGUCAAGUCAGCUGUGAAAUGUAGGCGCUCAACGCCUGCACUGCAGUUGAAACUGGCUUUCUUGAGUGCGUAAGGGGCAGGCGGAAUUCGUCGUGUAGCGGUGAAAUGCUUAGAUAUGACGAAGAACUCCGAUCGCGAAGGCGGCCUGCCGGGCCGCAACUGACGCUGAAGCUCGAAGGUGCGGGUAUCGAAC
rnacentral:rRNA from 1 species